rnacentral:rRNA from 1 species
UACGUAGGGGGCAAGCGUUGUCCGGAUUUAUUGGGCGUAAAGAGCGUGUAGGCGGUUUGGUAGGUCCGCUGUGAAAACUCGAGGCUCAACCUCGAGACGCCGGUGGAAACCAUCAGACUAGAGUCCGGAAGAGGAGAGUGGAAUUCCUGGUGUAGCGGUGAAAUGCGCAGAUAUCAGUAAGAACACCUAUGGCGAAGGCAGCUCUCUGGGACGGUACUGACGCUGAGGAGCGAAAGCGUGGGGAGCGAACAGG